rnacentral:sRNA from 1 species
GCCGGGUGCAGUGGCCCAUGCCUGUAAUCCCAGCAGCUUGGGAGGCUGAGGCAGGAGGAUCCCGAGUUCCAAGCCAGCCUCAGUAAAAGUGAGAUGCUAAGUAAAUCAGUGAGACCCUGUCUCUA